rnacentral:rRNA from 1 species
GAUGAACGCUAGCGGCAGGCUUAAUACAUGCAAGUCGUGGGGCAGCGCGUUGUAGCAAUACAAUUGAUGGCGACCGGCAAACGGGUGCGGAACACGUACACAACCUCCCAAUAAGUGGGGAAUAGCCCAGAGAAAUUUGGAUUAAUACCCCGUAACAUAACGAUGUGGCAUCACAUUGUUAUUAUAGAUUUUUCGCUUAUUGAUGGGUGUGCGGCUGAUUAGAUAGUUGGCGGGGUAACGGCCCACCAAGUCUACGAUCAGUAGCUGAUGUGAGAGCAUGAUCAGCCACACGGGCACUGAGACACGGGCCCGACUCCUACGGGAGGCAGCAGUAAGGAAUAUUGGACAAUGGACGCAAGUCUGAUCCAGCCAUGCCGCGUGAAGGAUUAAGGUCCUCUGGAUUGUAAACUUCUUUUAUAAGGGACGAAAAAAGGCUUUUCUAAGUCGUCUGACGGUACCUUAUGAAUAAGCACCGGCUAACUCCGUGCCAGCAGCCGCGGUAAAAC